rnacentral:rRNA from 1 species
AGUGAACGCUGGCGGUAGGCCUAACACAUGCAAGUCGAACGGAAGCACAGUAAGAGCUUGCUCUUACGGGUGGCGAGUGGCGGACGGGUGAGGAAUACAUCGGAAUCUACUUUUUCGUGGGGGAUAACGUAGGGAAACUUACGCUAAUACCGCAUACGACCUACGGGGGAAAGCAGGGGAUCUUCGGACCUUGCGCGAUUGAAUGAGCCGAUGUCGGAUUAGCUAGUUGGCGGGGUAAAGGCCCACCAAGGCGACGAUCCGUAGCUGGUCUGAGAGGAGGGUCGGCCACACUGAAACUGAGCGACGGUCCAGACUCCUACGGGCGGCAGCGGUGGGGACUAUUGGCCAAGGGGCGCAAGCCUGAUCCAGCCAUACCGCGUGGGUGAAGAAGGCCUUCGGGUUGUAAAGCCCUUUUGUUGGGAAAGAAAAGCAGCAGGUUAAUACCCCGCUGUUCUGACGUUACCCAAAGAAUAGGCACCGGCUAACUUCGU